rnacentral:rRNA from 1 species
GUCUAUAGCCCCACCACCUUGAACAUACCUGACUUUAUCUGAUCUUGGAAGAUAAGCAGGUCAGGCCUGGUUUGUACUUGAAUGGGAAAGAGACAAGAACAAAAGUCC